rnacentral:tRNA from 2 species
GGGCGCGUAGCUCAGCUGGCCAGAGCACUACCUUGACACGGUAGGGGUCGGAGGUUCAAGUCCUCUCGCGCCCACCA